CCAGCACGUUGAGGUUGCCCGUGCCCACUGCCCUCAGGGCUGCUGACAGGGAAGCUAAGGCAGAUGUGACAGCCAUGUCUGGUCCCUGUAUGUGCUUGUUUGUCCCUGAAAACGAGACACCAAUAUCACUCGAGCCCCCUGGGCAUGCUUAGCUCCACCACACUGCAUCCAUCUGAUACAAACUGGAAGCCCACACUAUGAAAACAAAUAUUUCCGUCGGUGGGCUGUGAGGGGCUACGUUAUAAGUUCAUUGGCUUUUCAGUUUCAAGUGUACACUCAAGACUAAAGAGAAGGAGACUUCAGCAGAUUAAUUCAUCUGAUGACUGGAAUAAGAAGAUUUUCAGCUUGGUCUUCCCUAACAGCGAGGUCUAUUAUCUACAUAUGGAGGAAACGUGAAACAAUGAUGGACCUUCCCAGGAGUGGCCAGCUUACCAAAAUCCCUCCAAGACACCCUCAUCUAGAGGAUCACAAAACAACAUCUAAAAAAAACUGCAUGCUGCACUCAGUUAAGGCCGCAUUGUUAGCUUGAGCAGGCUCUUGGCAAACAGCGAUGCUGCGGUGGAGACUCUCAAUUCAGCCUGACCACCCUGCAGACGAGGGGCUUCUCUCCCACAGCCCUGCUCAUCCCUUCUCCGGGCCCCUGCUGUGCCUCCCCACCCCUCCCCUUUUUGCUGGCAGGUGACUCAGGAUAACAGAUGUUGGCCUGAGAGAGAGACGCUUCAUUGCAUUCACUUAGCGCUGCCAACACACCCAAUGUGAGCUUAGCCGACCUGCAGGGGUCCAGAGGACCAUCCCAUCAGCCGCCAGGAGGGAGAUACGGAAUACAGAUAUCAUCUUUUUUUGGAUUACAGGAAAAUGAAGAGAUUUUUUUGUUUUUUUUUAAAUCACAAAAUGCUCCUCAAUAAGCGAGCUGAAAACGUAAACAUCUGAGGGAUUCAGGAUUUCGAGGUGUGUGAGACAUUGAGCCACUUAAUCACAUAUUUGUCAAAGUGUGAUUUCUGCAGAGGAUCAGAGGACAGAGAAGCGAUCUAACCAAGAGUGUAUUUAACAGAAUCAGAGUUUAAGCCAUGUUGAUCCCCUAUGACAGCAUGUUUUAAAAAAAAAAUGGCAAAUAAAAUUGUAACUUAAUUAUAGAUUUAUAAUGAGCCACUGCACCACUGCCAAAAACAAGUCCCAUACCAAGCCAAACAGGCACCUGCUGAAUGCUCCCUGCUCAUGGGUUUUCAUAGCUUAAUUAAUCUAUGCCUUGGGGUAUCAUGACUUGUACGUGCUGCUUGUGUGCAUGUUUGAGACAAUUAAGUUGCUCCAAGAAACAGAGGUGCAACUUCAACAUGGAGCAGAGACACCAACGCACCGCACAUGGCAUAACACAUUUUGUGUUCUGUGAAAGUCGCAUCAAUUACCCAAUAAUUUGUUCACCGCUGAAGAAAAACAAGGGAAUAAAUGGCAAAUGUGUGAAAUGCUCUUUUUACAUAACUGAAACGCUGAUCAGACAGAAAGGGGAAUGCAGUUUCAAUUUAAAAUGUGUUUUCUAACCUUAAUUUCCACUUUACUGCAUCUGUUAGUUUAUAGUCAAUAUGAGUGAAAUGCCAAAGAAAUUUAGGGUUCA